UAAACUCAAUCCCCUAUUCUCUCACGAGAAUUCACCAAGUUUCCGCUGUUGUGUAUAUGUCUGGAAACAUGGCGGCACGCAUCCGUGGCCGCUCUAUCCGAAGUCUUCGGAUGCGAGGUGGGUAGCCAUACGAUGUCCCUGUUGUCUUGGACAGGUCGGAAUGACAGCGGGGAAGAUCUGGAGAAGAGAACCUUCUGACAACUUGUGUGAAAUCCUUCAAAAUGUCGUCAAGCCACACGGCAUCACCAACAUGCAGAAACUGGGCCACCUGAACAAUUUCAUAAAGGAUAAAGGAGAAGUUUCCCUAUGCGUUUGAUAUGUGUUUGUACUCUGAGGUGUCUCACUUGCUGGCCCACUGUAUGUUCCGCCUGCCAUCUCGACGCUUCAUACAGGAACUCUUUCAGGAUGUACACUUCAUACCAAUGUACGAGGAAGCAGAAGCGAUCCUGUCGAUGCCAUCAAAGCCUGUCGGAGUGGAUAUAGACUGUCCCACAGAAUCCUGAUCAUUGUCCCCAUCCUCUUCCCCCUCUCCCUGUUUAGACGACCCCCCUCCCUCCAACCUUCACAUAGAGAUAACGACAGCAAUGGAGUGGGAGAAUAGAGGGAGCGGCAGGUAACCUGGUGGUUAGAGCAUUGGACUAUUAACCAAAAGGUUGCUAGUUUGAAUCCCCGAGCUGACAAGGUCAAAAUCUGUCUUUCUGCCCCUGAACAAGGCAGUUAACCCACUGUUCUUAGGCCGUCAUUGAAAAUAGGAAUUUGUUCUUAACUGACUUGCCUAGUUAAAUAAAGGUAAAACAAAAAAAAGGGAUGAAGAGUAUGGGGGACGGGGCUAAAACAGGAUGGGAUACCCAGAGUAUGUUGCUGAAGUUUAGGAUGGAGGGAGCACGGAUGAGAGGAGUGGAGGAUCAUGGAUGUUAAAGAACAAGAAAGAGGAAAAGGGUUUCCCUCCCAUCGCUUGACAAAGAGGAGAUGGACUGUCUGAGAACAAAUGAAACCUGACACACCUAGUCCUGUUCCUGCCCAUCUCCAACAGGGGGAGCAGUUUUCCCAAAAUAGUAUUUUCAGAAGCUCAACCCGACGACGCUCAACCCGGUGACACACAACCCUGAGCAACAGACUACUUAUCACAUCCCAUUGACUUAAACACACAUUGGAUGAAUCAUGACGAAGUCUGUCUGUUUUCAGUGUACCUUUGCUCUGGUGCAUGCUGAUAUGAAAUGAAAAGGGGAUGUUUAGUCCAUCCCAGUCAGUGCUGGUCCCAUCCUCUUCUCCUUCCAUAUGGAAACACUACAGAAGGCUCCAGGAGCCUCCCUCAUAGUCAUACCCUCAGUCUGUUUCUGCUGUGACAUCAUGAGUUUAUCAAUUUCAACUCUACUCAAAAGACUCAUUCUAGUUCAAAUAACUGUUGUUCUAUUCAUUUCUACAGACAAUCAAACAUCAGUAGUGUUUUUUAAAAUUAUUUAACCAUCACUCUCUUCCCAUCCGGACACAUAAAACAUAACUUCUGUGCCUUGCUGUCUGUCAAGCCUUCCUCUGUCUCUGACCCUGGUCUGGAAACACACUGUUGUUGACAUUGCCAACAGCUGUUUUCUCUCACCUUUCAUUGGUUAUUUUUUAUGUUAAACUGCCAUGAAAUAUGCUGGUACGUGAUGUGUAGUUUAUUGUUUCAUUGAUUGUACAUAUUCAAAGAGAGAGAAGCUACAGUACCUAGUUGCCCUUCCCAAACCCUACCUCUGUGCUUUGUUCUAACUGCAUGUGCAAACAGCAUAUUGAAAUAUUACAUCAUCAUUGUCACUUUUCUUCUGGAAAUUAUUAAUGUAUUUCUUCCAAAUGCUUCUAAUACUUUGAUUGUCUUAAAUCAUAAUAGGUUGUCAUCACUGCUUUACAAACUGGGGAAAGUAACGGUCCCUAAGUUAUUUUCACAAUGCAACAUUGCUGUUUAUCAUUGGCUGAGAUGAGAGGGACAGGUAGAUGUGAUCGUUUAUGGAUUGGCAUAAGAUUUUCAUGGGGAAAAGUUUCAUUUUCUAUUAGUUUGUUUUGCUAUUAUGCUGCUACACAUGUGGACUCAUAUGGAUGAUUUAUAGAUUGGCUGAGUGAUGUGAGAAUAAUUUAUUAUAUAUUUGUACAGUAGCGGAGAGAGAUGAGAGAAGAAAAAAAUGUAUUUUUUCCUUGAUACUGUAUUCAUAAUUUCAAAUGUUUUUGUUGCCUAAAUCGUGGUUUCCCUUGUGUAAUGUGGGUCGUGUGUUUUGGGGUAUUUCUAUAGAAGCAUACACUCUAUCAAAGGGAUGCAUUGUUCAUAAAAACUAAAAUCAUGAACAAUCCAAA